AGAGCGAACGCUGGCGGCAGGCCUAACACAUGCAAGUCGAGCGCCCCGCAAGGGGAGCGGCAGACGGGAGAGUAACACGUGGGAACGUACCCUUCAGUUCGGAACAACCCAGGGAAACUUGGGCUAAUACCGGAUACGUCCGUAAGGAGAAAGAUUUAUCGCUGAAGGAUCGGCCCGCGUCUGAUUAGCCUGUUGGUGAGGUAACGGCUCACCAAGGCUACGAUCAGUAGCUGGUCUGAGAGGAUGAUCAGCCUCACUGGGACUGAGACACGGCCCAGACUCCUACGGGAGGCAGCAGUGGGGAAUCUUGCGCAAUGCGCGAAAGCGUGACGCAGCAACGCCGCGUGGGGAAGAAGGCUUUCGGGUUGUAAACCCCUUUCAGUUGGGACGAAGCUUCGCCGGUGAAUAGCCGGCCGGAGUGACGGUACCUUCACAAGAAGCACCGGCUAACUACGUGCCAGCAGCCGC
rnacentral:rRNA from 1 species